UUAAAAUGCCCUAUUUAUCAGAGUGAAGAAAAAAAAAAUCCCAGCUUAAGCCAAAGAAUAUAGGAUCUAAAAUACAGGCUGUGAAUUUAAUUUGUCUUGCAGCCGUGGUGCCCCAGUAACAGGAGGUGAUUUAUGGUUCUCCCGGGGGAAGGCAGAAGGCGAGCCAGAGAAGGAGUGCCGAUCCUUUUCUGCUCUCCUUGCCCCACUCUCACUCUGCCUCCCUGGACUCUGUCUGCUCUGUGUCCUGGGGGAAAGUAGCUCCCUGAGUCUGUGCAGAGCUCAGCUGCUGCUGGAGCUGGGCAAGCAUGGAUUCUGCCUUGAACGGACAUCUGGAACAUCCCCAAGUUGUUGAGUUGAACAGAAGAGGAGCAUCCUGAAAUAGCCUCUGAAGCUGCAUAAAGACCUGCAUAAACCUCAGAUCUGACAACAGUGGACCCAAAGGCAGACCACUGGUGAUGUGGCAGAUAUGGAUAAUGAUGGGGACUCUAUUCACCUGGCUUGAGACCUAUGUGUGUGAACACUCCCUGCCUAAGAGAAAAUGUUCUCAUCCUCUGACCCACAGAAAGCAAGGCUUCAUGAUAACAGCUAGUGCUGUGGCCGCACAUUUCCUGAGUUCCUUAAGAAGUGGCAGAUCUGGCAUGGUGGACUUCUCCUUCUCCUUAUACAUCUGCGGGUUAAAUGGCAGAAAAGAACAUGACAAGAUCAACACCACCAGGCAUGACCCUGACUGGAAGAACUUUAUCAAUUCUCUCUCCGAAUCACCCGAAUUUAAAGCAAGGCACUUAUUUGGAAGAGUUUUAGUUUAAACAUCCAGAAAGGGGUGACACUAUGAUUAUAAGGAAUGUUUUCCAUACUGGGCUGGAGACCCAAAUGGGGAGAUGAGAAAAUCAAGAAGGAGGUUUGGACCACAGGGAAACUGGUGAGGAUUAGGAAUGAUCCAUACAAAUUGUGUUCUCAUCCUCAUGUUAGGGCUAAAGUUCCGAUUCUACUCUGUUAAACUGUGACUUCAUGGUACUGGCAAGAUGGCUCAGCAGACAAAGAUGCCUUUGCCUCCUGACAUCGUAACCUUGACUUUUCAGCCUCUGGAACUAUGGGAAAACACACUUCACAUUUCAAUGAUCUGCUAGUGGAUCUGCUAGUGGCUUUGCUAGCCCUAAUCAAUACUGCAAGAUGCAGAUGCCAGGCUAGAUGUCAUUAUGUACCUGAUUUCUACCAAGCCACAGCUGACUCUUCCAUGCAACACGUGGGGUAUUUAAAUUGUGUGUGCUUAAGAACUACCCCAAGCAACACCAUUUUAAUGAACAACAUGGUGAUUUCCAGAAAUCUAAUUCCGUGAGAUUUCUCUUCUAUGCAGAAGCCAGGGUUGAGAAUCACCUGCCUGUAUGUUUGAACUACUUAUGUUUCUUCAGAGUCAGUUCUAAUCUGGAAGAUCACAUGCACACAGCAGCCCUAUAUUCCUCUAUCUCUUCGAGGCAGCUACUCUGUCAUUCCUUACUGUUUUAGUUUCUUCCCAGCAUUGAUGACUCUGUCUAAUGUCUUUGAUGUACAUGGUAAUUUAAUUUCUUCUUUCUCUGAAAAUAUAAGCUUAGAGAGGUUAGAGCCCGGCACCCUUUUCCCUUCAGUGCUGGUGACAGCCAGCAUUAUGAGCAGAUGGGUCGCUAAGGUGGGUGCCUUCCCUCCCUUGCUCCAGCUCAUAGGUCAGGAAUGGAAGAAGCAGGAUUUGUGCCCAGGCUGAAUUGAAUUCACAGCCAUCCUGCUGGGCUACUAACGCAUUCAUUAUUUUCUCUCCACACCGUGCUUCACUGACUGUCAUUUUCUACCACGGACUUUCAUUUUGUCUCUCAACGGAACUCCAAGGAAGUACCCACCACCAGCUCUAUUUUACAGAUCAGAAAACUGGGGGCCUGAAUGUGUGUGAGGGAUUGUGUGAGUCCCUCCCCAUCCCAUAGGAGCUGUUUCUGUAGUGUGUCAGCCCCACAGACUUUCUGUCCUCUUGUUGAGUUGAUUCCUUCCCCCUCCUGCCCUGAGAAGAGAUGUUCAGUUUCCACUGAGCAUCUCCCAUCAGCGUAGAGGCAGCAGGAUUUGGCUGGGUCUUGUGAAGAGCAGUCAGCUCCCGCCUGACCAUAAACUGCCUGUGUCCCAGAUGGUCUCUGCAUCUCUGGGAAUACAGGCAGCACUCUAGGAUUCAACGACUUUAACAAAUGACUAUGUGAAGUUUGGAGGGAAACGUUGGGGGUGGGGAUGAGGAAUGGGAGGAUUUGAAGCAGAAGGAAUAGUGGGUGAAUUUGAUCAAAACACAUUAUAUUCACAUACACAAGUUCUCAAACAAUAAAUUAAAUAAUAGUAAUAAUUAAAAAAAAAACAGCACACUGAGUCAGACACUUCAGGAGGAAAAAAAAAAAAAAAAACAAGAAAUAGCUUGGCACAACUGUUCCCAGCCUUAAACUAUGCCGGCUUCUUCCCGUAGCUCUGCCAGCCCAAGGUUGCCUGCUGCCACUUGAGCCUCACGUUAGAACGUGGGAAGGUUGGAAGCUUCCGGGAGAAGGUGAAAGGGAUUUGAGUCAAGCUCAUCAAGGAUGUGACAGCUGGGGGGACUCAAGUGAUAAAGA